CAGCCAUUAGUGCACAGGCCUCACCUUCUAAAAUCAUUACCUGCUAGUGAGAAUUGCAACAUCUGAAUUAGAAUGAGCCACAAACAUUCAUUAUUGUUUUUAAAUAUUUAAAUUUGUAAUGGUACUCUACUUAGUACACAGUGAUGUAACUGCCAUGGUACUUUCAACAAUCUGUGAAUCUCCAACAGCAGAUGAAAAAUGUGAAGACCAGAAAGCACAGUUGCCAAGUGCGCACUGCCCACAUUCCAUAGCUGGGUGCCUUGCACUGUGUCCUGAAUCUGCUCCGGACUCCAGUUUUCUGUGAAUGUGGAUGCUGGAAAUCAGCAGGUGUAUGCCUGCCACCCCACGGUAAGACUGGGACUGAAUUUCAGGUUCCCAAAUUUUAUCUGGCCUGGUACCAGUUACUGAAGGUGUUGGGAAAUAAACCAGUGAGUGCAUAGGUACACUCCCUCCUG